UCCUCCCUCUGGCGGCGUGCCUAAUACAUGCAAGUUGAGCGAUGAAGAUUGGUGCUUGCACCAAUUUGAAGAGCAGCGAACGGGUGAGUAACGCGUGGGGAAUCUGCCUUUGAGCGGGGGACAACAUUUGGAAACGAAUGCUAAUACCGCAUAAUAACUUUAAACAUAAGUUUUAAGUUUGAAAGAUGCAAUUGCAUCACUCAAAGAUGAUCCCGCGUUGUAUUAGCUAGUUGGUGAGGUAAAGGCUCACCAAGGCGAUGAUACAUAGCCGACCUGAGAGGGUGAUCGGCCACAUUGGGACUGAGACACGGCCCAAACUCCUACGGGAGGCAGCAGUAGGGAAUCUUCGGCAAUGGACGAAAGUCUGACCGAGCAACGCCGCGUGAGUGAAGAAGGUUUUCGGAUCGUAAAACUCUGUUGGUAGAGAAGAACGUUGGUGAGAGUGGAAAGCUCAUCAAGUGACGGUAACUACACAGAAAGGGACGGCUAACUACGUG
rnacentral:rRNA from 1 species